GUUCCAAGAGAACCAGCCUGGGGUUUCCAGUGCAAUUUCUUCCUGUGUGGUCAUUAAGACCCUCAAGUCAUCUUCCUAGCCAGUCCACCCCAGAGGGCACCACCUCAGAGCUUUAAGUGCCCCAGAAGUUGAGGUGUUGGUUUCCCCAGUGAGGCCAUAGGCCAGGGGCCACCUCUACAGGGAGAGCACUGUACUCUGAGCAACAGGGGUCCAGGUUGACCACUGUUCUGCCCACUUCCCAGCUGUGUGACCUUGGAAUCCAGAGAAGGGACUUCCCUGGCCGUCCAGUGAUUUGGACUCCGCGCUUCCAUUCCAGGGGGCACAGAUUCGAUCCCGUCAAGGAACUAAGAUCCUGCGUACUAUACGGUGCAGCCAAAAGAGAAGUAGAAGAAAAUCCAAAGAAGAUAAGGGCCUUACCUGCACAUAGCCUCACCACCAAAAUGCCCCUUCCCUGCCAUUCUGAAGGAACUGGAGUCAGGCAUAAAAGCACGUUUCUGCAAGGGCCUAUGGGGAUUUUCCAGAAAGACUCCAUUCAGCUGGAGAAUUCCAUUCCUGGCCCUGCCACCCAGGGCUCAGGCUAAGGAGAGAUGCUCCGGCUCAUUCCGGUUCUGCCCAGUUCUUGCUCCUUGCCUGCCAAACCCACAUCAGGGUGUCCCACACUGUAAUCUCUUGCUGUUUUCUGUGGAGUGUGAGGUGCCUGAGGAUCCAAGGGGUCCCUCAGAGGCCUGACACAGAACAGUGAGGGGCCCUCUCCUGACCCCCCUCCCCAUCCCUUCCUGGGCCCUCCCUUUCCUUCACCCAGCAUGUUUUAGCAUUUUCCCUGGAGCCAGCCCCUGCCCUCAGGGUCACCCUGGAUGAACACGGACAAACCAAUACAAUGGACACUGAUUUGGGGCACAGAUGGCACCUGACACAGCUUGGGGGUGGGUAUGACAAAGGCAGCUGGAGAGGGGAAGUGGAGCCAGCUUGCGACAACUGCCUGGACAGAAGCUCAGAGCUUUGGGAUGUACUGUUACGUUUCCGAGAAACUGGAGAACAGGUCUGAGGGAGUCAGAUGGACACUGAGGUCCAAAUAGGAGCUGAACUGAACUCAUGCAUUGUAUCUACUUAGCUGGAGUUGGACCCCAAUUCCCUUCCCACUCCAGCCUCUCCCCUCCACAGC
ensembl:lncRNA